GAUGAACGCUAGCGGCAGGCCUAACACAUGCAAGUCGAACGGUAACAUGACAGUGCUUGCACAGUUGAUGACGAGUGGCGCACGGGUGCGUAACGCGUAUACAAUCUACCUUUUACAGGGGGAUAGCCUUUAGAAAUGAAGAAUAAUACCCCAUAGUAAGUAAAUUUCUCAUGGAAUAUACUUUAAAGAUUCGUCGGUAAAAGAUGAGUAUGCGUUCUAUUAGCUAGAUGGUAAGGUAACGGCUUACCAUGGCGACGAUAGAUAGGGGCCCUGAGAGGGGGAUCCCCCACACUGGUACUGAGACACGGACCAGACUCCUACGGGAGGCAGCAGUGAGGAAUAUUGGACAAUGGGCGAGAGCCUGAUCCAGCCAUGCCGCGUGCAGGAAGACUGCCCUAUGGGUUGUAAACUGCUUUUAUAUGGGAAGAAACCACAGAACGUGUUCUGUGCUGACGGUACCAUAAGAAUAAGGAUCGGCUAACUCCG
rnacentral:rRNA from 1 species